UACGUAGGGGGCUAGCGUUGUCCGGAAUCAUUGGGCGUAAAGCGCGUGUAGGCGGUCCGGUAAGUCCGCUGUGAAAGUCGGGGGCUCAACCCUCGAAUGCCGGUGGAUACUGUCGGGCUAGAGUGCGGAAGAGGCGAGUGGAAUUCCUGGUGUAGCGGUGAAAUGCGCAGAUAUCAGGAGGAACACCUAUUGCGAAGGCAGCUCGCUGGGACGUGACUGACGCUGAGACGCGAAAGCGUGGGGAGCAAACAGG
rnacentral:rRNA from 1 species